rnacentral:misc_RNA from 1 species
GAUUGCCAUGUCCAUGGUUGAUGAGUAACUCACGCUGGCAAUCUUUCCAUCUGGAGCAAUAAAUGAAUGUUCUGGAGAAGUUGAUGGAUUGGUUUCCAGAUACCCUUCUGGCCCUUCAAUCAACCAGUCUAACAAAAAUGAUGUACAUCUUUCCAACAGAGGGUAUGCCUCAUUUUCUAGAAAAUCCUGGUCCAUUGUGUAAUUAUAGUGCUCCCACAAAUGGGUACAAAGCCAGGCCCCACCCAUUGGCCACAAUGCCGACUUAACCUUUCCUCCACCUGCUGACGAUUUUGCCCAUAUGUCAGACCGAUGAUGUGCCACCCAACCACUUGCUUGAUAGUUCACCUGCGCAGUUUUGCUUCCGUUGACUGAUAGAUGCUUGAUAAAAUCAAACAAGGGUUCCUGGCAUUCACUAAGGUUGCAUGGUAGUGCAGGCCAGUAAUUCAUUUCAAGAUUGAUGUUCAAGGUAGGAGCACAGUCCCAUUUUGGCUCAAGUUCUUUGUUCCAUAUACCCUGCAGGUUUGCCACUUGAGUUCUAGGGCGUGAGCAAGAAAUAAGUAAAUAUCGACCAAACUGGAACAGAAGCUCCACUAGUGAAGGAUCUUCAUCGGAUUGAAAAGAUUUUAUUCUCUGAACUGUUGGAACUCCAUCAUCAUUGUUCCCUUUGAAAUACACAGCAUUUGCAGAAGGCAUAAGAUUAUUGAUCACAAGAGACCCAUCAUUAGUAAUUUUGUUAGGGCUUUUCCCGAGCUGAAAUGAAACCCGGUGAAAAAGAUUCUGAUAGUCAUCUA